rnacentral:hammerhead_ribozyme from 1 species
AUCGAGCUGACGAGUCCCAAAUAGGAUGAAACGUGCGUGCUGGAU